UACGUAGGGACCAAGCGUUGUUCGGAUUUACUGGGCGUAAAGGGCGCGUAGGCGGCAAUUCAAGUCAGCUGUGAAAUCUCCGGGCUUAACUCGGAACGGUCAGCUGAUACUGCUUUGCUAGAGUGCAGAAGGGGCAAUCGGAAUUCUUGGUGUAGCGGUGAAAUGCGUAGAUAUCUGGAGGAACACCGGUGGCGAAGGCGGCAUCCUGGACCGGUAUUGACGCUGAGGCGCGAAAGCCAGGGGAGCAAACGGG
rnacentral:rRNA from 1 species